GCCUGCUCCUCGAAGGAACACGCGCCUUCCCGUCUUCCAGGAUUGUUCUUCCAAAACAACAUGCUGUGCCGAUCUGUUUGGAAGGAAAGGAGGAGAGAGAGGGCAUCUUCCAACUCAGGGACAUGAAGAAAUACCGGAGCCCAGGCCAGUCCUGAACAGAACUCAGUAAACAUUCCAAAAAUCGCUGAGCGGCACUUUGAUCUGUGUUGAGGUCGCCCCUAAAACUUCCCAUUGCUUCACGACCAUCUUCCUGUGCGGAAUUUUGAAGAGAUUCUGACCG
rnacentral:lncRNA from 1 species